rnacentral:rRNA from 1 species
UGGGGAAUAUUGCACAAUGGGCGAAAGCCUGAUGCAGCGACGCCGCGUGAGGGAUGACGGCCUUCGGGUUGUAAACCUCUUUCAGCAGGGAAGAAGCGAAAGUGACGGUACCUGCAGAAGAAGCGCCGGCUAACUACGUGCCAGCAGCCGCGGUAAUACGUAGGGCGCAAGCGUUGUCCGGAAUUAUUGGGCGUAAAGAGCUCGUAGGCGGUUAGUCGCGUCUGCUGUGAAAACUCGAGGCUCAACCUCGGGCUUGCAGUGGGUACGGGCUGACUAGAGUGCGGUAGGGGUGACUGGAAUUCCUGGUGUAGCGGUGGAAUGCGCAGAUAUCAGGAGGAACACCGAUGGCGAAGGCAGGUCACUGGGCCGCAACUGACGCUGAGGAGCGAAAGCAUGGGGAGCGAACAGGAUUAGAUACCCUGGUAGUCCAUGCCGUAAACGUUGGGCACUAGGUGUGGGGUCCAUUCCACGGAUUCCGUGCCGCAGCAAACGCAUUAAGUGCCCCGCCUGGGGAGUACGGCCGCAAGGCUAAAACUUAAAGGAAUUG